rnacentral:rRNA from 1 species
UACGUAGGGUGCGAGCGUUGUCCGGAAUUAUUGGGCGUAAAGAGCUCGUAGGCGGUCUGUCGCGUCGAUCGUGAAAACUUGGGGCUUAACUCUGAGCUUGCGGUCGAUACGGGCAUGACUGGAGUUCGGCAGGGGAGACUGGAAUUCCUGGUGUAGCGGUGAAAUGCGCAGAUAUCAGGAGGAACACCGGUGGCGAAGGCGGGUCUCUGGGCCGAUACUGACGCUGAGGAGCGAAAGCGUGGGGAGCGAACAGG